rnacentral:tRNA from 1 species
GCCCUCGUAGUUGAAUGGAUACAACGACGGUCUUCGGAACCGUAGGUCCCCGUUCGAGUCGGGGCGAGGGCA